GGUUAAAAAGCUCGUAGUUGGAUUUCUGUCGAAGACGGUCGGUCCGCUCUAUGAGCGUGUAUCUGAUUCGGCUUUGGCAUCCUCGUGGGGAACGUAACUGUGCUUGAUUGCAUGGUGCGGAAUUCACGACUUUUACUUUGAGGAAAUUAGAGUGUUCACGGCAGGCAAGCGCCUUGAAUACAUUAGCAUGGAAUAAUAAUAUAGGACUUUGGUUCUAUUUUGUUGGUUUCUAGGACUAAAGUAAUGAUUAAUAGGGAUAAUUGGGGGCAUUUGUAUUAACGCGUCAGAGGUGGAAUUCUUGGAUUGCGUUACGACAAACUACUGCGAAAGCAUUUGCCAAGGAUGUUUUCAUUGAUCAAGAACGAAAGUAUGGGGAUCGAAGAUGAUUAGAUACCGUCGUAGUCUAUACCAUAAACUAUGCCGACUAGAGAUUGGAGGUCGUUCUUUUUAUGACUCCUUCAGCACCUUAUGAGAAAUCAAAGUCUUUGGGUUCCGGGGGGAGUAUGGUCGCAAGGCUGAAACUUAAAGGAAUUGACGGAAGGGCACCACCAGGAGUGGAGCCUGCGGCUUAAUUUGACUCAACACGGGAAAACUCACCAGGUCCAGACAUAGUAAGGAUCGACAGAUUGAUAGCUCU
rnacentral:rRNA from 1 species